AAAUGAAUAGACGGGGAGACACUACAACGAGUGACGCGUGCGGUUCAAUCAGAUUCUACACCGUGAACCUCACCAGGAGCGACAGCAGAAUGAAGGUCAGUCUGAAGGGCUUACCUGACACGCUGAGCGGAGAUACAUAGUCGACGUCAGCCUGUGCAGUGAUGUGACCUGUUAAAUCAGGUAACAGGCGAGACCCGUGUCAACAAUUACUACCGAAAGGAGAACAUUGUUGAGACUGCCUUGGUAACAAGGAGGAAGGUGCGGGCUACGUCAGGUGGCAUGUCCCUAAUCCCCUGGGCUACACGCGCGCGGCAAUGGUAUACUCAAUGAGAUGCAACACCGAAAGGUGAAGCCAAUCCCCUAACGUAUAUCUCAGUUCAAAUUGAGGGUUGCAACCCACCCUCAUGACGCUGGAAUUCGUAGUAAUCGUUCGUUAGCAGCAAACGGUGAAUACGUCCCUGUCUCUUGCACACACCGCCCGU
rnacentral:rRNA from 1 species